rnacentral:misc_RNA from 1 species
AAAACGAGAUGAAAGAUGAGGAAUUCGAGCAUAUAGAGAAGGAAGAUGACUUCAAAGAAGAAAGAAUUGAGGAGACAAAACGGAAGGCCUGCUGUAGGUUCGGCGGGGUCGGAGCUCUGUGCUCAAUUGGAGUGGCUGCUGCUACCAUCUGUAUAUUUGUAUUGGGAGGCCGGCAGCAGCAGCAGCAGAAACAGCAGUUCCAGAAUCAGAGGAUUCAGUUCCAAAUCUACGGAGACGACAAGAGGAUGAAGCAAGUGGUGCAGCAGGCUGGCCGGCUGAACCAGGCAUGGU